AUUGAACGCUAGCGGGAUGCUUUACACAUGCCAGUCGAACGGCAGCGCGGACUUCGGUCUGGCGGCGAGUGGCGAACGGGUGAGUAAUGUAUCGGAACGUGCCCAGUAGCGGGGGAUAACUACGCGAAAGCGUAGCUAAUACCGCAUACGCCCUACGGGGGAAAGCAGGGGAUCGUAAGACCUUGCACUAUUGGAGCGGCCGAUAUCGAAUUAGCUAGUUGGUGAGGUAACGGCUCACCAAGGCGACGAUCCGUAGCUGGUUUGAGAGGACGACCAGCCACACUGGGACUGAGACACGGCCCAGACUCCUACGGGAGGCAGCAGUGGGGAAUUUUGGACAAUGGGGGCAACCCUGAUCCAGCCAUCCCGCGUGUGCGAUGAAGGCCUUCGGGUUGUAAAGCACUUUUGGCAGGAAAGAAACGUCGCGGGCUAAUACCCCGUGGAACUGACGGUACCUGCAGAAUAAGCACCGGCUAACUACGUG
rnacentral:rRNA from 1 species